GGAGAUGUAGCUCAGUGGUAAAGCGUAUGCUUAGCAUGCACAAGGCCCUGGGUUUGAGUCCAAGACCCUCCU
rnacentral:tRNA from 1 species